CUCCCCUCAGCCUCUCCCGCAGCCGCCCGGAGCGGCAGCGAGCGGCUCAGCCCGGCUGCCUUCAGCGCCGCUCCCCCGUGCGAGGUGCUGCCGUGGGCAGGUGUUGCCCGGGCAGCCCCGGCCCUGCAGGAAGCACCUCGCAUGCAAGAGAACCCAAAGAGGAUCAGCAUUUGCUUUGUCUCAUGAAAAAUGCCAGAGACCAAGAACAUACAAGCUGGACAAAGAAAUUCAGCUUAAUAUAAAUUCAUGAAACAAAGGUGUCCUUCUCUGAAGAAAAGGCUUUGCUUUAUACAAGUGGUCUGCAAUGCAAAUGCAGUCCUUCCUGUUUGCUAAGGGAAGUCAACAAAACCUUGGGAGAGUUACAUUUUAACCCCUUGUUCCAGUCAGUGUCUGUCUGCCUGUGGCUCUGGUCUGCCUGAUGAAGGGCCAUGGGGCUGAGAAAAGUACAAUUGAAGAGCAUGGAGCAUUCUGACGUGUGUAACUCAUUGUAUCAAAGGAAGCCUUACAUGGCACAAUUUGGAUGAUGUCUGGACUUAAACCCAUUAUCAGAAAAAGAUAAUGGUGCUGUUGUGAGAGCCAAAUGAAGGGACAACACAUAAUAUCAUACACAAGAAAAUCAGAGAUCUUGAAUGAGCAAAGAGGAUGUACAUGAUGGAGUUAUUUACCAAAAAUGGAAAAAGAAAUUAUUUUGGAACUACAAGCCACAGACAGGGCAAAAAGAUGAUGGAAGUUAUACAAAAGCUUUCUAUUCCCAGAGGAAGACCAGGUCCAUCUACACCACCGUCAGAGGAAAACUACACCCUUUUACAGGAUCACUGCUUCAGCAGAACCAUGCCUGUGGUUCUGGAUAUCAUCUGAGAUUUGGAAAACCACAAGCAGCCUUUGCAAGCAACCAGAACCUCCUGUGCAGGAGGGCUGCAGCCACCAUUUAAUGGGACUGCUACCAACACCCUGACCAACAGGGUGUCAAGUCAUACUCUGACUCUGACAGUGGUUUUUUUGUACUAUUGCAUUUGUAUUUUUAAUUUUCCUAGUAAAGAAAUGUUAUUCCUAUUCUCA